rnacentral:rRNA from 1 species
CCCUUAGAUGUUCUGGGCUGCACGCGCGCUACACUGAUGCACUCAACGAGUUUACGACCUUGCCCGAUAGGGUUGGGUAAUCUUUUUAAAAUGCAUCGUGAUGGGGAUAGAUUAUUGCAAUUAUUAAUCUUCAACGAGGAAUUCCUAGUAAGCGCGAGUCAUCAGCUCGUGCUGAUCACGUCCCUGCCCUUUGUACACACCGCCCGUCGCUCCUACCGAUUGAGUGCUCAGGUGAAUAAUUCGGACUGCAGCAAUGUUUGGAUCCCGAACGUUGCAGCGGAAAGUUUAGUGAACCUUAUCACUUAGAGGAAGGAGAAGUCGUAACA